rnacentral:rRNA from 1 species
UACCAGCACCCCGAGUGGUCGGGACGUUUAUUGGGCCUAAAGCAUCCGUAGCCGGUUCUACAAGUCUUCCGUUAAAUCCACCUGCUUAACAGAUGGGCUGCGGAAGAUACUAUGGAGCUAGGAGGCGGGAGAGGCAAGCGGUACUCGAUGGGUAGGGGUAAAAAUCCGUUGAUCCAUUGAAGACCACCAGUGGCGAAGGCGGCUUGCCAGAACGCGCUCGACGGUGAGGGAUGAAAGCUGGGGGAGCAAACCGG